rnacentral:rRNA from 1 species
GUAAGGAAUAUUGGUCAAUGGACGCAAGUCUGAACCAGCCAUGCCGCGUGAAGGAUGAAGGUCCUCUGGAUUGUAAACCUCUUUUAUCUGGGACGAAAACGGGAUUUUUAUCUCAAUUGACGGUACCAGAGGAAUAAGCACCGGCUAACUCCGUGCCAGCAGCCGCGGUAAUACGGAAGGUGCGAGCGUUAUCCGGAUUUACUGGGUUUAAAGGGUGCGUAGGUGGGCUUAUAAGUCAGUGGUGAAAUCUCCGAGCUUAACUUGGAAACUGCCGUUGAUACUAUAGGUCUUGAAUUAUCUGGAGGUAAGCGGAAUAUGUCAUGUAGCGGUGAAAUGCUUAGAUAUGACACAGAACACCGAUUGCGAAGGCAGCUUGCUAAGCUGUAACUGACGCUGAGGCACGAAAGCGUGGGGAGCAAACA